AAUUCUCCUAGAUACCAGUGAAUCAGCAGCUGAACUCUACACUGUAUAUGAUCCAAAAGUAGCAAAGUAAGUUGAGAAAGUGUGUUUCCAUUUUGAAGUAA